GGCGUGCCUAAUACAUGCAAGUCGAGCGAACAGAUAAGGAGCUUGCUCCUUUGACGUUAGCGGCGGACGGGUGAGUAACACGUGGGUAACCUACCUAUAAGACUGGGAUAACUUCGGGAAACCGGAGCUAAUACCGGAUAACAUUUGGAACCGCAUGGUUCUAAAGUGAAAGAUGGUUUUGCUAUCACUUAUAGAUGGACCCGCGCCGUAUUAGCUAGUUGGUAAGGUAACGGCUUACCAAGGCAACGAUACGUAGCCGACCUGAGAGGGUGAUCGGCCACACUGGAACUGAGACACGGUCCAGACUCCUACGGGAGGCAGCAGUAGGGAAUCUUCCGCAAUGGGCGAAAGCCUGACGGAGCAACGCCGCGUGAGUGAUGAAGGGUUUCGGCCCGUAAAACUCUGUUAUUAGGGAAGAACAAACGUGUAAGUAACUAUGCACGUCUUGACGGUACCUAAUCAGAAAGCCACGGCUAACUACGUGCCAGCAGCCGCGGUAAUACGUAGGUGGCAAGCGUUAUCCGGAAUUAUUGGGCGUAAAGCGCGCGUAGGCGGUUUCUUAAGUCUGAUGUGAAAGCCCACGGCUCAACCGUGGAGGGUCAUUGGAAACUGGGAAACUUGAGUGCAGAAGAGGAAAGUGGAAUUCCAUGUGUAGCCGUGAAAUGCGCAGAGAUAUGGAGGAACACCAGUGGCGAAGGCGACUUUCUGGUCUGUAACUGACGCUGAUGUGCGAAAGCGUGGGGAUCAAACAGGAUUAGAUACCCUGGUAGUCCACGCCGUAAACGAUGAGUGCUAAGUGUUAGGGGGUUUCCGCCCCUUAGUGCUGCAGCUAACGCAUUAAGCACUCCGCCUGGGGAGUACGACCGCAAGGUUGAAACUCAAAUGAAUUGACGG
rnacentral:rRNA from 1 species